rnacentral:rRNA from 1 species
GAGGCAUCUUCUUUCGGCCAAAGGAGGCGACUCCGGAGACGGAUGGGCAUGCGUGACAUUAGCUUGUUGGCGGGGUAACGGCCCACCAAGGCGACGAUGUCUAGGGGUUCUGAGAGGAAGGUCCCCCACACUGGUACUGAGACACGGACCAGACUCCUACGGGAGGCAGCAGUGAGGAAUAUUGGUCAAUGGGCGAGAGCCUGAACCAGCCAAGUCGCGUGAAGGAUGACGGCCCUACGGGUUGUAAACUUCUUUUGUCAGGGAGCAAUUGGGUCCACGUGUGGGCUUAGCGAGAGUACCUGAAGAAAAAGCAUCGGCUAACUCCGUGCCAGCAGCCGCGGUAAUACGGAGGAUGCGAGCGUUAUCCGGAUUUAUUGGGUUUAAAGGGUGCGUAGGCGGAAUAUCAAGUCAGCGGUAAAAAUUCGGGGCUCAACCCCGUCGUGCCGUUGAAACUGAUGUUCUUGAGUGGGCGAGAAGUAUGCGGAAUGCGUGGUGUAGCGGUGAAAUGCAUAGAUAUCACGCAGAACUCCGAUUGCGAAGGCAGCAUACCGGCGCCCAACUGACGCUGAAGCACGAAAGCGUGGGUAUCGAACAGGAUUAGAUACCCUGGUAGUCCACGCAGUAAACGAUGAAUGCUAAUUGUCCGGAGGGAUUGACCUCUGGGUGAUACAGCGAAAGC